rnacentral:rRNA from 1 species
UACAGAGGGUGCAAGCGUUUAAUCGGAAUUACUGGGCGUAAAGCGUGCGCAGACGGUUGCGUAAGUCAGAUGUGAAAGCCCCGGGCUCAACCUGGGAAUUGCAUUUGAGACUGCGUAGCUAGGGUGCGGAAGAGGGAAGCGGAAUUCCGGUGUAGCGGUGAAAUGCGUAGAUAUCGGAAGGAACACCAGUGGCGAAGGCGGUCUCCUGGAGCAUACUUGACGCUGCGGC